GGGACAAUGGGAACUUCCAGCCACACUGCCUGUGGCUUCCACAUUCUUCAGCAGGCCCCUCAUAAGAUCAUCACAAGCAACACGGAGAAAUGUUGGCCUGCUGAAAAUAGAAGUGCAGAGACUCUCUCCCGUGACAGAAUGAGGCGUGGAGGAUUCGCAGAACUCUUUCCUCAAUGGCCCCAUAAUGAUACCAUCUUUUAUUCCUUUUAGUAGCCUCAUCAGUGCCCUGAGUGAAUAUGUGUCUGUGUCUUUAAGGGAAUCCAGGGGAAUAGAAUCCCACUGUGACGUGUUUCCUGACUCAAAAUUCAUCAUGGUUACAUUUUAAUCCUUGGGCAACGGAAGACCAUCAGCAUCGUAGUGAUGCAAGUGGCACUUCAGUUACAAUCCCCAUUGCUAACCAAAGUACCAAGAAAAAAGUAUUAGGUUAAGUGAGAGACUUUGUUUCUACAAAUAGUAGAGUAGUUUGCAAGCCGGGGAGACACAGUCAUUGGUACAAAACAAAGGUGCGCUCCAUGACAACCAAGAGAGGGGCUGUCUUUUAUAGAAAAGUUUUCCUCCCAGUCUCCCAUCCUGGUCCACUACGAAAAUAAGGGAUGCAGGCUUGUUUGGUUUGCACUGGUUGAUAAGAUUGACAUAGACCGAGCAUCCUGGUCCGCUAUGUAAAUAGGGGAUGGAAGCUUGUUUUAUUUGCAAUGGUUGAUAAGACUGACGUAGGCCAAGGUCUGUUGUGUAGGUCCAGAAGGAGAAGUGGGACUUCCCAUCAGCCAUCAAUUCAGGCACCGUGAACAGGAACAGGCAACCCUGAGGGUCCCAAGAUGACACAAAUAUGUGUUUUCUGCCAGGAACGCAGAAUACACAUGUGACCUGCAGUCAGCAGACCGCCAGGUGCCUCCACCUUGAAUUUAAGCCGGUCUUGAGGACCAGCUCCUUCAGGUUCACACUGUGGACCUCAGAAAGGCAGCAUGUGUCAUAGACACUGGGACGUUGUAUUACAGUGGGAAAACAUCACCGCAAAGGCAUAAACCUCCUCUAACUGAAACGGUCCCACACGCAAACACACGGAGCUCCAGUCAUGUGAGAGCACAUUCAGUUUGGGGAAACCUUUUUUGGUCUCUUCCGAUUCUCUCUCCAACAAGACACAUUCUGUGCAUUCCGAAGAGAUGGAAAAUCUUGCAUGAGCCAGUCCCGUGGUGUGCAUUGGUAACUCUCCAAAUUUACAGCGUGUUGGUCUCAUCUUCAUAGCUUGUUAAAAAUAAAUGUCCUAAGCUCACCCCCACCCCAAAAUUCUGAUUCAGUAGCUCUGGAAUGGGGCCCAGGAAUCUGCAUUGAAGACUGCCUUCCCCGACACCCCCAGGAGCUGAAUUUGGUGGCCUCUACACUGCACUGAGAGGGAGGACUGUGGCAUUCAGAAGCCUCCUGUUAGGGGCCGUGUUAGGGGCCGUGGGGUCCCAGCGUGACUCCAAUAUGGUUGCUCCACCCUGGCAAGGCCCUCUCCACUGGCAAAUGGACAACAUGCUCCUGGAGUGACCAGAAUCACUGCGGAGCUUGAAAACCACUUGUUUGGACAUGGGUGUGAUCAGAAGGAUACAUACGAGCUAAAAUGUAUUAGCACAUUUCGUUUCCUGAGGACUUCCGCCAUUGUAAAAUAAAUGUCAUUUCAUUUUAUGCCUUCUUUUAACAUUUGG